AGCAUUGUCAGAUAUGAAUGGACCCUUGGG
rnacentral:piRNA from 1 species